AGGGCGUACGGCGAAUGCCUGGCCACUCGAAACUGAAGAAGGACGCGCCAAACUGCGAAAAGCUCCGUGAAGCUGUAAGGAAGCGAAGAAGCGGAGGUGUCCGAAUGGGGGAACCCGGCAGCAGACAUGAGCUGUCAUCUGCAGGUGAAUACAUGGCCUGCAAGAGAGGUACCCGGCGAACUGAAACAUCUAAGUAGCCGGAGGAAAAGAAAACAACAGUGAUUCCCUGAGUAGCGGCGAGCGAAAGGGGAGAAGCCCAAACCGGUUGAAGGACCGGGGUUGAAGGACCAUGAGAUGGCAAGAACGAGGAUAGGAGAACGGGAUCGAAAGCCCGGCCGAAGAAGGUGAAAGCCCUGUAACCGAAAUCCGAGGAAAGCCUAAUGGGAUCCUGAGUACGGCGAGACACGAGGAAUCUUGUCGGAAGCAGGCGGGACCAUCCGCCAAGGCUAAAUAUAAACGAGUGAGCGAUAGUGAACCAGUACCGUGAGGGAAAGGUGAAAAGAACCGCGGGAGCGGAGUGAAAGAGAACCUGAAACCGUAUGCCUACAAGAAGUCAGAGCCCGUUAAGGGGUGAUGGCGUGCCUUUUGUAGAAUGAACCGGCGAGUUGCGACAGACUGCGAGGUUAAGGAGGAAAGACCGGAGCCGAAGCGAAAGCGAGUCUUAAGAGGGCGAAAGUAGGAUGUUGCAGACCCGAAACCGGGUGAUCUAGCCAUGAGCAGGUUGAAGUUGAGGUGAAACUCAAUGGAGGACCGAACCGACUACCGUUGAAAAGUUAGCGGAUGACUUGUGGCUAGGGGAGAAAUUCCAAUCGAACCCGGAGAUAGCUGGUUCUCCCCGAAAUAGCUUUAGGGCUAGCGUUGGAAAGAACCUUAGUGAAGGUAGAGCACUGAAUGUGUGAUGGCCCCAUCCCGGGGUACUGAAUACAAUCAAACUGCGAAUGUCAUUAAGGAUGUCCGGCAGUCAGACUGUGAGUGAUAAGGUCCAUGGUCAAGAGGGAAACAGCCCAGACCGCCAGUUAAGGUCCCAAAAUACAGGCUAAGUGGAAAAGGAUGUGGGGAUGCCCAGACAACUAGGAGGUUGGCUCAGAAGCAGCCAUCCUUUAAAGAGUGCGUAACAGCUCACUAGUCGAGUGACCCUGCGCCGAAAAUGUACCGGGGCUAAGCCUGAUACCGAAACUGCGGAUUGUAGGAAACUAUAGUGGUAGGGGAGCGUUGUAUACGAGCAGAAGCCGUACCGUGAGGAGCGGUGGAUUGUAUAGAAGUGAGAAUGCCGGUGUGAGUAGCGAGAUGUAGGUGAGAAUCCUACACACCGAAAGCCCAAGGAUUCCAGGGGAAGGUUCGUCCGCCCUGGGUAAGUCGGGACCUAACGCGAGGCCGAAAGGCGUAGUGGAUGGAAAGCAGGCGAAAGAUUCCUGCACCCGUAUAUGGAGCGAAGGAGUGACGGAGACGGAUAGUGUGACCCUCUUAAUGGAUUGAGGGCGAAGCGAAGCGGCUGGUUACCAGGCAAAUCCGGUAACCUCAAGGCUAGGGCGUGACAGGCAAGCGAAAUCCAAGGAAAGUAGCGAAGCACAUGAUGACGGCUUCCAGGAAAAGCUUCUGGCAAUGCAUAUGCGGCCCGUACCAAAACCGACACAGGUGGGCAGGGAGAGAAUCCCGAGGUGAGCGAGAGAACUGUUGCCAAGGAACUCGGCAAAAUGACUCCGUAAGUUAGCGAGAAGGAGUGCUUAAGCAAUUAAGCCGCAGUGAAGAGGCCCAAGCGACUGUUUAACUAAAACACAGCUCUCUGCGAAGUCGCAAGACGAAGUAUAGGGGGUGACACCUGCCCGGUGCUGGAAGGUUAAGAGGAUCUGUUAAGAGCGAUCUGAAGCAGUGAUCCGAAGCCCCAGUGAACGGCGGCCGUAACUAUAACGGUCCUAAGGUAGCGAAAUUCCUUGUCAGGUAAGUUCUGACCCGCACGAAAGGUGUAACGAUUUGGGCGCUGUCUCGGCAGCAGACUCGGUGAAAUCUUAGUACCUGUGAAAAUGCAGGUUACCCGCAACUAGACGGAAAGACCCCAUGGAGCUUUACUGCAGCCUGAUAUUGAAUUCUGGUCAUACAUGUACAGGAUAGGUGGGAGACAAAGAGACGUGCACGCCAGUGUACGAGGAGUCGGCGUUGGGAUACCACUCUUGUGUGACCGGGGUUCUAACCUGGUAUCGAGAACAGGUACGGGGAGAGUGUCAGGUGGGCAGUUUGACUGGGGCGGUCGCCUCCCAA
rnacentral:rRNA from 1 species